AACGGCGGCUGAUACAGUAACAGAAGAGAGCAGGAACGAUCCAAGUCCCAUGUUUCUCCUGGCUAUUCCCUCCUUUUGUACAUGUAGCAAAAGAGAAAUCAUAAUUCUUAGUUCUUAGAAACAUUAUGUUUUUGCUUUCAUUUUCUUUCCCAAAGUUUAAAAUAUUGUAGACGACAAUUUUGCCAGCUUCCUAAGCAAUUUCAUUAGUGGAAGUGUUGUAGCAAAGUAUGACCUAUUUCCUUUUAUGGCUCUCAGUUGAAGAAGAGAGACAUAAUCAACUUGCUCUGAAAAACUUCGACGAGCCUUCAAACCCAUAGCAUAUCUUCUCUUAAACUAUAAUUAGUCUAUAAAUAAUUGAAAUAUAGAUGGAUAAGCAAUUAAAAAACUUAGUUCUAGUACGAACUGUGGGGUUCAACUAGUGGAAAAGAU
rnacentral:lncRNA from 1 species